rnacentral:lncRNA from 1 species
GGCUCUCAGACCUCAAACUGGGAAUGCUGACCCCUUGGGCCUCAAAAAGCAGAGAAAAGAAUGACAUGUUCCUCAACCAACUCCCGAGCCAGAUCUGGGCACUGGAUGCUACCGCACUACACAUCCUCCAUGCCCUUUCUUAUUACCAGCUGCCCCCAAACUUCACCUGUUGCCAAAGCCACCACACAUUUGCCACUCAAUUCUGUGGUUUCCGCAGAUGAGAAGGCUGAUUUGAACUGAAACACAGGGGCAGAGAAGUGAAGGGUUAAUUUCCAAGAGCACUGCCCAGGUCUCCUCCCCAUUUCAACUUCUGUUCCAGGAGAAAAAGACCAAAGACCAAAGAGGCCAAAGACCUCAAGCAGGGCCUGUAGGACCCAAAGUAUUGGCAGGUGCCAGAGCCACUCCUCCCCACAUCCAGGUGAGCCCUGUGCCCUGGCACCAGGAUCUGCUGUCUUUGCUAAGUGGAAGGAUCUGGUAGUGCCAAAUAGUGUUUGGACCUUCUAAGCUAGCUGGUGUGGGGGUCAAGUGCAUGGUCUUUGGAGCUAGACAGCCUUUCCACUUAGGACAUAUGUGACCUUCAACAAGUUUCUAAACCUCUCUGGGUUUCAGUUUUGCCAUCUGUAGAAUGGAGCUGGUAUCUCCCUUACAGGAUUAAAGGAAAUAAUGUGUGUCCCAUGCUCAGCCCUGCACCUGCCACAGUAAGCACCUGGUGAGUGGGAGUAUCUGAUCUUGUUAUUGAGGAUGCAGAGGCCGACUCCCCUGUUCUCUGCUUCCUUCGCCCUCCCCUUGCCAACCUGCUUCAACACAGGAUCCUGCAGGACCUCCUCCUUUGCCAUAUGCUCCUUCAGCAGUUCUGUCUGCACAAUCCCCGGCCACAGAGACACACAGCUGACCCCAUGGCGCCGCAGCUCGUGGGCACAGUCAGCAGCCAGCUUGUCACACUGUGGAGAGGCGGAAGGCAGGGAGCCCCAAGGUCUCAGCUGCCCACGCUCCCCAGUGUGAUGCCUACUCUAGCCAACCAAGAGGAGCACAAGCAAAGGAACUGUCCAUGGAUGAGGCAGAGGAGGAGCUGAGAGGAGCCAGCCUUACCAUUCUGACCACUGGGGAUUGUACCUCCUGAGCUAUAGUGUCUCGCUGUGUCGUCUAGACUGGAGUGCAGUGGUGUGAUCAUGGCUCAACUCCUAGGCUCAAGCGAUCCUCCUGCCUCAGCCUCCGGAGUAGCUGCUGGGACUGCAGGAACGUGCCACCAUGCCUGGCUCAAACACAAAGUUUUUUCAUAAAACUCACUUGGCGGCAAAAUUCUACCUUACCUGAAGUUAUUUACGGGGUUUUUAAUUUCCACUUUGAAUAAAUAUUCACAUCUUGUUGA